rnacentral:rRNA from 1 species
AUUGAACGCUGGCGGCAGGCCUAACACAUGCAAGUCGAGCGGCGCGGCGGAGGGGUGAGUAAUACCUAGGAAUCUGCCUGGGCGUGGGGGAUAACGUCAGGAACCGGGCGCUAAGACCGCAUACUAUCAGAUGCGCCUAGGGCGGAUUGGCAAUUUGGUGGGGUAAAGGCCUACCAAGGCGACGAUCCGUAACUGGACUGAGAGGAGGAUCCGCCAAACGGGGACUGAGACACGGCCCAGACUCCUAGGGGAGGAAGCAGUGGGGAAUAUUGAACAAUGGGGGAACCCUGAUCCAGCCAUGCCGCGUGUGUGAAGAAGGCCUUAUGGUUGUAAAGGACUUUAAGCGAGGAGGCGUUACUCGCAGAAGAAGCACCGGCUAACUCUGUGCCAGCAGCCGCGGUAAUAC